rnacentral:rRNA from 1 species
AUACAUGCAGUCGAGCGGACCGACGGGAGCUUGCUCCCUUAGGUCAGCGGCGGACGGGUGAGUAACACGUGGGUAACCUGCCUGUAAGACUGGGAUAACUCCGGGAAACCGGGGCUAAUACCGGAUGCUUGAUUGAACCGCAUGGUUCAAUCAUAAAAGGCGGCUUCGGCUGCCGUUUACAGAUGGACCCGCGGCGCAUUAGCUAGUUGGUGAGGUAACGGCUCACCAAGGCGACGAUGCGUAGCCGACCUGAGAGGGUGAUCGGCCACACUGGGACUGAGACACGGCCCAGACUCCUACGGGAGGCAGCAGUAGGGAAUCUUCCGCAAUGGACGAAAGUCUGACGGAGCAACGCCGCGUGAGUGAUGAAGGUUUUCGGAUCGUANAGCUCUGUUGUUAGGGAAGAACAAGUACCGUUCGAAUAGGGCGGUACCUUGACGGUACCUAACCAGAGAGCCACGGCUAACUACGUGCCAGCAGCCGCGGUAAUACGUACGUGGCAAGCGUUGUCCGGAAUUA